GGCCCUGUCGUCUAGCGGUUCGGACACUGCCCCUUCAAGGCAGAAAUACGGGUUCAACUCCCGUCGGGGCCACCA
rnacentral:tRNA from 2 species